rnacentral:rRNA from 1 species
AGUGAACGCUGGCGGUAGGCCUAACACAUGCAAGUCGAACGGCAGCACAGAGGAGCUUGCUCCUUGGGUGGCGAGUGGCGGACGGGUGAGGAAUACAUCGGAAUCUACUCUGUCGUGGGGGAUAACGUAGGGAAACUUACGCUAAUACCGCAUACGACCUACGGGUGAAAGCAGGGGAUCUUCGGACCUUGCGCGAUUGAAGGAGCCGAUGUCGGAUUAGCUAGUUGGCGGGGUAAAGGCCCACCAAGGCGACGAUCAGUAGCUGGUCUGAGAGGAAGAUCAGACACACUGGAACUGAGACACGGUCCAGACUCCUACGGGAGGCAGCAGUGGGGAAUAUUGGACAAUGGGCGCAAGCCUGAUCCAGCCAUACCGCGUGGGUGAAGAAGGCCUUCGGGUUGUAAAGCCCUUUUGUUGGGAAAGAAAUCCAUCUGGUUAAUACCCGGGUGGGAUGACGGUACCCAAAGAAUAAGCACCGGCUAACUUCGUGCCAGCCGCCGCAGUAA